rnacentral:rRNA from 1 species
CCUACGGGCGGCAGUGGGGAAUAUUGGACAAUGGGGGGAACCCUGAUCCAGCCAUGCCGCGUGUGUGAAGAAGGCCCUCGGGUUGUAAAGCACUUUCAGUGAGGAAGAACGCCUGGUGGUUAAUACCCAUCAGGAAAGACAUCACUCACAGAAGAAGCACCGGCUAACUCCGUGCCAGCAGCCGCGGUAAUACGGAGGGUGCGAGCGUUAAUCGGAAUUACUGGGCGUAAAGCGCGCGUAGGUGGCUUGAUAAGCCGGUUGUGAAAGCCCCGGGCUCAACCUGGGAACGGCAUCCGGAACUGUCAAGCUAGAGUGCAGGAGAGGAAGGUAGAAUUCCCGGUGUAGCGGUGAAAUGCGUAGAGAUCGGGAGGAAUACCAGUGGCGAAGGCGGCCUUCUGGACUGACACUGACACUGAGGUGCGAAAGCGUGGGUAGCAAACAGGAUUAGAUACCCUAGUAGUC